CAUGGAUAGGGUGUUUUAUUUU
rnacentral:miRNA from 15 species